AUCCAGCUGACGAGUCACAAAUCAAACGAAACGCGCGUCCUGGAU
rnacentral:hammerhead_ribozyme from 2 species